rnacentral:rRNA from 1 species
CAAUAGCGUAUAUUUAAGUUGUUGCAGUUAAAAAGCUCGUAGUUGGAUUUUGGGUCGGGGGCACCGGUCCGCCGUUCCGGUGUGCACUGGUGGCCCCUUCCUUUCUGCCGGGGACGUGCGUCGCACUUAAUUGGGUGGCGUUCGGAGUCGGCGUUAUUACUUUGAAAAAAUUAGAGUGUUCAAAGCAAGCCAUCGCUCUGAAUACAUUAGCAUGGAAUAACAUGAUAGGACUCCGGUCUUAUUUUGUUGGUUUCCGAGACUGGAGUAAUGAUUAAGAGGGACAGUCGGGGGCAUCCGUAUUUCAUUGUCAGAGGUGAAAUUCUUGGAUUUAUGAAAGACGAACUUCUGCGAAAGCAUUUGCCAAGGAUGUUUUCAUUAA